UCGGGUAUGGUGUAACGGCUAACAUUGCCGCCUCUCAUUUCCAUAGCAUCGACUCGACUGGAUCGCGGCAGCUCGGGGUUCGAUUCCCCGUACCCGAA